GUGUGUGUGUGUGUUUUGUGUUUGUUUUGGGGGUUUUUUUGGGGGGGGUUAGGGGGUGGGGCCCGGGUCAUAAUCGUUUUAAGUGUAAAUACGUUCCUCUUCAGCUAAUCGUGUUGCUUGUCUUGAGUGAUAUAAGCGUAUAUUCUCGGAUACACGUUCCAUUGUGUGUUUUGUUUGGUAAAAUGUUUAACUUAAAGAUUAGUUAAUUUUUAGUUCAACGCGCUUGCGUAUUAUUUUGUUUUGGUUUGGCUGGGGGUUUUGGAGAGAGGGUCUGUGGGACAUGAAUUUAAUUUUGUCAAAUAAUUUUACUAUUUUGCGUCAUGUGAUCACUUUUUGUAACGUCAUAAUCUCUGUGACGCCAUAAUCGGUUCCAGCGUACGUUCGUCUUUAGCUAUAAUAGCUGCAACCGUAACUAAACGUCUUCUUCUAGAUACAAGUUCCAUCUUGCAUUUUGUUUAUGAUAUUAUUAUGAAUUCGUCUGGUCGUCUGUUGUUUGUGCUUUUGGUAUGUGGAGUGUUGUGCGCCUCCAUUGAUGGUGGAAGACAUAUUUACGGUAAUUUCUACCGGUCUCGGUGGCGUCGUGGUUAGGUCAUCUGUCUACAGGCUGUCUGCUAUCUUCCGAAAGACCCCGGACCAUGUGACGAUGGCGUCUCCAGAUACUACUACAGUUUUCGCACAAGAACAUGCAGGCAGUUUUACUACGGAGGUUGUGAAGGAAACGACAACAACUUCGUCACGAAGAGAGAAUG